GUCUUUGGCCAUCCCACCCAGAAUACACGAGAUCUCCUCUGAUCUCGGAAGCUAAACAGGGUCGGGCCUUAUUAGUACUUGGAUGGGAGACCGCCUGGGAAUCCUGGGUGUGUAUACU
ensembl:rRNA 5S_rRNA 5S ribosomal RNA